GUUACAGAUACCCAAGAUGGAGACGAUUUUUUACAAUCUAUGCAAAAUCGAUUUUCCGACCUUGUUUUGAUUUUUUUGAAGGAAACAUCACGUGUUACUUCGCUAACAUAUCCACGCUUAUCUACAGUCUAAAACAAGUUUUACGACAUUAACCCUCAAGUUCAGGGUAGUCCGUUUUUGAACUGGCAGACCUGUUCCUAAAUUACCAAGUAUUCUUUAUUGAGAAAAAAAGACAAUUGAAAUGAAGACGAAAUUUCAAGUUAUUGAACACAUUCGUCCAUAUAAAAUCAAUAGGCAGUGAAUUCAUUAUUCAAAAAAAUACGUGGAUGUUUUUUCGAGGUUCAUGAUUUUUUAAAAUUGACCCCUUGAUCAACAAAAAGAAAAUGGAUAACGAAUGCUUGGAAUCAAAUAGUUCAUGUGUUCUAUUCUUGCCAAUAUGCAACCCACACAUAAGAGACAAAUGUUUUUGUUAGUGAGUACC